rnacentral:lncRNA from 1 species
AUCCCUUCCAGCCAAAAGCUGUACCUUACCUUCUGUGCUGCAGUGCCCAGGGAAAAAUGAGAAUCCUGCCUCUUCAGCAAAAAUGCUGCAAAUCUUACUGCAGAUGACAAAAUACAAAGCCACAGUACUGCAACAGCAAGCUACAGAGCUUCCUGGAAGGGCACAAUCUCAGGAAAUCAAGAGGCAUCUCAAAACUCUUUGGGAAAGGAUAUUUGUUGGAUGUUUACAUUAUGGUCUGUUUUAUUCCAUCUCUGUCCACUCUAUAUGCCAUGGUGACACAGGUCAGUGAAAACACUGCAAGGAAAGAGCCAUCUGAGAAACGUGGAGCGGACAGAAAGCUGGCGACAACUGUCAAACUGUCAGGAUUACAAAAGACCGUGGUCCCAUUGCAUGACAGAGGUCAGAAUUUACUGACGUUGGCUGUACUUGCUACGGAGAACAAAGUACUAAGGGUGCCCAUGGAGAAACCAAGACAGAGACCAAAACUUCCGUAUCAGGGGAAUCCUACAACACACUGGAUGGAGGCAUUAGCACAACCUUGUAGUCUCUUCUGCUUCUCCUUGUAUGCUAUGAGAGUUUCUUUAUAGGACAUUCAGAUCCGGAUGAACCAAUAUUUCUAACAGCUUGAAAGAGAGUAUUGCCCAGUUUAUUCGUUUGGAUUUUCAAAUUCUGGUGACAUGUACUGCAGUUUAUGGAUUUUAUGAUGUCCAGGAUAGCAUUGGCUCCAUCCAGGAGGUAAGUGACAAUGUCUAAUUAAUGAUAAACGUUUCAAACACAUACUCGCUGUAGUUAGUAUAGACUUCAAGUUGAACUCAGCAAUUUAUCUUUCUUCCUGGCUCAUUAAACACUGUUUUGAGCUCCACUAUCAUACAGCUAAUGAUCAUGUCUUUAGUAGUCUUUGCAAAUCAGUCACUGCAGCUCAGUUUUUCAGACUCUAUUUCAUUGAAAUGCUGAGGUUUUCUUCCAGGGGUUGAUGAGCUUUCUCAGUAAAAGUUUCUCUCCUCUUGCUGGUCUGCAUGUGCAGGGUCCAAGAUUUAGUCUCAACUAUGUUGUCUGCUUUUAUUUAUAAUUUUUAUGGCUGGAUUAUCGGUAUUGACUGCUUCUCCUCAAAGGAGGAUUUCCCAUCAUAGAGGAGUCCCUGGUGGCACUGUAUAUAGACAUUACUAAUGCAUCCAUCAGCAAAUUAUCUAGGCACCAAUUACAAAAUGGAGUCUCAGGUAGUGUGAGUAAUUGAUUUUUUUUCAGUGUAAUAGCUGAAUUAAGAAGUUGGAGAAGAGUCUUGUUAUAUACGGAGUGGUAAUUCGUGUCGAAAAAAUGGUUGAUAUUAAUGAAGAAGGGGGAGAUUGGGAGUGUGGCCAUGGGGGUCGGAAAGCCCCGUGGUUGAUGAUAAGAUUAGACUCUUAACGAUGAGGCCUUCAGGAAUGUAAAAGAGUUUAGAGGGAACAAAGAAGGGUGAUUCAGGAGACUCCGUACAGUCUCGGGUUGCUUGUUCUCCAGCCAUUAAGGCAUGGAAGUUUCUGGGUGUUUGCCGUUGCUGUUAUUUGCAAAGUUGUUUGACCAAUGAAAAGUUUUUUUGAAAAGAACUGCUGUGGGGAGAAGGAUGUAAGAGGGGAGCCUGUCCUCAAGAUUUAAAAAAAAAUAAAAAUAAAAAUAAGGCAACAUGAUAUAAUGAAGUUAUGUCAUCAAUAAAGAAACAAAAAGAAGGAAUGAAAAGGAACAGGCUAGCAGAACAGAGACCAGGACGGGAACAUGCACAUUGAUUGCCUCAUGAAGAUAGGUUCGGCCAGACUCAGCAAACUGCUCAAAGAAGCUCGUAGAGGAAGUCACUGGAAAUAGGUGCACCAGAGCUGGGAAGAAGCUCAAGCUGAGAGAAGCGGACCUGAAUCACACAGAAUCACACAGAAUCACAGAAUUUCUAGGUUGGAAGAGACCACAAGAUCAUCGAGUCCAACCUCUAACCUAACACAAACAGUCCCCACUAAACCAUAUACCUGCGCACACAACUGCCGCUCGCUGGUAAGCAGUUGCGCAUUAUGGGGAAUCAUACGUCCUUAGAAACAAAGACUGUCCUGGUAGCCUUACAGUUUAUUCUCCUUAUUAACAAUUGGACAGUUUAUGAUCCUGAAAUACAGAACCAAAUUGAGGUCAAGGUGUGGGACUCUGCAACUAAAAACGACAAGGUUGCGGCGGGACUGCUCAGCACCUGGCGAGCAAUAUCUGAGGCCUUAAAGAGCCAUGUGGGGCCACAAUCAGAAACGUGGUUUGCCAGACAGCGAGGGAACUGCGGGCUCCUUUACUGAUCCGACUGCUACGCCGUGGGCCCCUCUGCUACUGCCAUUGAAGGCUUUUGCUGUUACGUCCCCUGCUGACUUGGAUGUGCCUUUUGGCCCAGGCCUUAUUGGCCUUGAAAUGGAGAUGGGUAUGUUUUUCUUCGAUCUGGGAAGAACGGGAUACAUAAAGCCCGAAGGCUGAGUUGCUUGACAACUUAAAGCAAGACAUAUUGUUCAAAAGGAAUGGAAAAUGGAGAUUUGUUUGUAAUCGAGAAAAGGAAUGGAAAAUGGAGACUGUUAAGUCAUGGAACUUAAAGGAUUGCUUGUUACCUUUUUUGGUUGUACAUAUGUAUAGGCAUACUCGAGUUUAGUAAGUCAUGGAGACUUGUUUGUAAUCAAGAAAAGGAAUGGAAAGGAUUUUGUUACCUUUUCUGAUUGUACAUAUGUAUAGGCAUACUCGGGUUUAGUAUGUAAAAGCAAUGUUCUAUAUAUAUUUAGAAAGUUUAAUGUUCGUGUGUGUUGGUGUAGCGUAGACUCCCCGCACACCCAGCGCUGUUUACUUGCCUUUUAUUCCUUUUAUAAAUAUUCCUUUUAUAAAUAUUACUAAAUUCAGAUUGAGUUGAGACUUCAUUUAUAAGUCUUAAUAUAAGGUCAUUAGAAGUAACAGUGUGUUUUGUUCUCAGACAGAAUGCAAAAAGAACACUCACCUAUGUGUGGCACUGUAGUUCAAACUCAAAGCCUGCUUGAGUAGUAGGAAUGCUUCUUCCAUCUGCCAGGAGAGAACUCUAUUUACAGCAUUUUCAAGCUAUCAUAGCAGAGGUCAACCUUACCAAUUGCAAUUUUCUGUAUGGUUGUGACUCUCAUGUGAAAAAUAAAAAUCUCUCUGGAACUAUUUUGGAAAUUAAAUCUACAUUUUUAAUAGCUUUAGUAUGGCUCCUGCUGUGUCUUUCAGCAAACAUUUGCCGAGACUCUGUAUGAGAUUUGCCUUACUUUGCAUUUAAAAAACACUGCUCUUCACUUCUUGGGAGGUCAAGUGUCUGUAUUGGAUGAUCUAUACCUUUGAAAGUUCUUUCA